UACAGAGGGGGCUAGCGUUAUUCGGAAUUAUUGGGCGUAAAGGGCGCGUAGGCGGCCAUGCGUGUCUUCCGUGAAAUCCCUCGGCUUAACUGAGGACGUGCGGAAGAAACUGCAAGGCUCGAGUCCGGGAGAGGGGGGUGGAAUUCCCAGUGUAGCGGUGAAAUGCGUAGAUAUCGGGGGGAAUACCAGUGGCGAAAGCGGCACCCUAGCGUUAGCCUGACGCUCAUGUGCGAAAGCGUGGGGAGCGAACGGG
rnacentral:rRNA from 1 species